UGAGCAAUCUGCCCUUCUCAUCGGAAUAAGCGUUGGAAACGACGUCUAAUGCCGAAUACGACCUCCUUUCACAUGAUCGGAGGUGGAAAGCUCCGGCGGAGAAGGAUGAGCUCGCGGCCUAUCAGCUAGUUGGUGGGGUAAUGGCUCACCAAGGCAACGACGGGUAGCUGGUCUGAGAGGAUGGCCAGCCACAUUGGGACUGAGACACGGCCCAGAUCCGUAACGGGG
rnacentral:rRNA from 1 species